rnacentral:rRNA from 1 species
UACGUAGGUCCCGAGCGUUGUCCGGAUUUAUUGGGCGUAAAGCGAGCGCAGGUGGUUUAUUAAGUCUGGUGUAAAAGGCAGUGGCUCAACCAUUGUAUGCAUUGGAAACUGGUAGACUUGAGUGCAGGAGAGGAGAGUGGAAUUCCAUGUGUAGCGGUGAAAUGCGUAGAUAUAUGGAGGAACACCGGUGGCGAAGGCGGCUUACUGGACUGUAACUGACGUUGAGGCUCGAAAGCGUGGGGAGCAAACAGG